rfam:Catenulispora acidiphila DSM 44928, complete genome.
UCCGCCAUGGGGUAAUUGGCAGCCCAGCAGACUUUGGAUCUGUUUGUCCAGGUUCGAGUCCUGGUGGCGGAG